GAUUCAUUUUGUUUAUGCCACGUGGUUGACAGGUAAACAAGGAUCAGGGUUAUAAUGGUCAAUGUCAAAAGUAAGAGGUAAAACCGUCAAUUCAUUUUUUAUCUGUCGAGAAAUAAAAUAUUUUUUUGUUUUUAAAAAUUAAGAUUUAUAAAAAUAAAAAUAAAACUCAAAAGGGAAUAAAAAGAAAAAAAAGCAAUCGGAGGAAACAGAUGAAUCUGAGAGUAUCGGCGACGGCAUAUAUACGACGCCGUCGAGGAUCGGUGAAGAGAUGAAGUUUUCGAAAAUUGAGGAAGUAUGUUGCAGGCGAAGAUCGGAGUUUGAGAUACCGUCGCCGGAGAUCGGCGGAGGAGGAGGAAAAGGGGAGAAAUUAAAGAGAGGGAGAGAGAGAGAGAGAGAUGAGAGGUUAAAGUCGCAGGCG
rnacentral:lncRNA from 1 species